AAAAUUUGAUUGGAUUUAUUCAGUUUUGUGCAAGUCCAGAGAUUCGGAUCCACACUAGCAUUUAUAGGCAAAUAUAUACAGUACAUUGCAGUCUGUGAGUAUUUGCAGAGCAACACAUUUUUAUUUUGGCACAUUGGUUUACCACGGUAUGACUUUAUUCUUUAAAAUUAUUCCCAGCUGCACUGUAAACUGGUAGAGCUAUUCCAUGAAAUGCUCUGAACAGAUAAAUUGAAACAAGAGUGAUUUAAUUGGAAAAUAUGAGUUAAAAGAAGAUAAGCUAUUAAAUUCUUUUGCAUAUAUUGCAUCACAUAGAAAGAAUGUCUCUGCUGUUCAGUCGUCUCCACCUUGAUUGGUGUUCAAAGGGAGCGAUUCACCCCAGCGAGAUGGAGUUGACUUCUUUCCUUUUGAGCCUUUAUUUCUGCACAUCUUGAGCAUCAGUAGCAAUAUGGCCAUGACUAUGACGAUGAGAAUUGUAAUAGUUAUUUUAUAGGUACUCAUGUUGCAUUCAGAGAUGUGAUUAGCAUUGCCUGCAAAGAAGAAGACAAGGAAAGGUAUUUCCACUUGAUCUUCUUUUGAUAUUUUCUGAAAGAAAUGACAUUGAAUUAAGGUACAUUAAUGAUAAUUGCCUUAAGACAUGCCUACCUUCUGUGAGAACACUGACAUUUAAAUUAACUGACUUUUCUACUGCAACUCCACCCAUGAGACAGAAAAGGCAGCCACUCCUCUACCUCACAGAAAUACAGACCACUAUUUUCAGGACCAAGGUUCAAGAACGUGAGGCUGAAUUAUCUGGGGUCAGGGUGGUCGUAUCUCAGGCGAACAUUCUCCCCAAACCUGUCUUGUAGAGUUGUGUUCCUGUAAACUGUGAAUACGGGGCGCUGUUUAGUUUCUGAUUUUUUUCUGCCAAAACCAUGUGACCUCAACUUGGAUUCAUGGCUGGGUUGUUGGUUGAUGUUGCAGGGGAUGAUGAAAUUUUGCUUUCUUGUUCCUCUGCUUUAUCUCUGCUUUCUCCUUUGGAAUAGAGAGACUGUUUUCUGUGAAUAAGCACAAGGGUAAAACUUUAGUUUAACAGACCUUUAAUAACAGACCAGUCAGUGAGACUUA
ensembl:lncRNA